rnacentral:lncRNA from 1 species
GUCAUCCUCCGGGGGCGGGGCCCGGGCCGCAUUGUCUCGUCUAGGGCCGGCUGGACGCCCCAGAGGCCGGACCUGGGCAACCCCAGCCUGGAGGUGCCGGGGCCGGAGCUCCCAGAGGGCUGGGUGCGAGGCCUAGGCGGGGUCAGGUUCGGGUUCCUAGGCCAUAGCGGAGCUGCAGCCCAGGCGGCCGGAGCGGAACCCAGCCCCGCUCCGAGUGCCACGUCUCCAGGAACCCCCUCCUUACUCUUGGACAACACUCCGCCCCCGCCCGGGCCUCCGUCCCCCAAACCGCCCUCAUUUGUGCAGCGCCAGAUCCUUCGGACACAUCCCUAGGUGUCUCCAUCCUCAUUCGGUCCAUCCAACUCCCAGACCUCACGUCAACCGGCUGCACCCCACUUUCCAGCCUGCGCCCCAGAUCUGCAGCCUUCGCCCCUAGAUACACCCGCCUGGUGAUGAGGCGCUCCUCGCGUUCCUUCCGUCUCCAGUGCACCGGCUUUCCCUCGUCCUCUGCGCAGUCCAUCUCAGCUCAUCUCUCCAAUUCAAUGCCAUCAUCUCUCCUCACCAUCUCUCGGUGCCCUGGAAUGUUUGCUGUCAGAUGUCCCCUGUGAAACCCACAAACGCUUGCGAUUUGGCCUCCUUGUUUUAUUUUGUGUAGUCCUACAACGUCUUGUUACUACCCCCUAUUACAACACUUAUAACUCAGUAUUUGUCUUUUUUCCGCGGUGUCCCUGCACUCUCCCCAUACAUAUUCCUCUCCUGCCAGAUUGUAAGCCUCUAGAGGGAAGAAGUAAUGUCUCUCUCCUUGGCACCAGGCACGUGGCACACGCUCCACAAAUAUUUGUUGAAAGGGAGGGUAAAUGGCCUUGAGUUUCUGUGGCUACCAUUGGCUGAGGAUGGAGCUUUGGGCUGGACAAAGAAGAAUCUGGUUGACCACAUGAAGCAGGAAGGAGGCUCAGAACGGUGUUGAGGGAGCCUCCACAAUGGGUGGGCACCACAGUUGGGCAACUUGAGAAGCCCUGGACUCCCAAGGAGCAAUCCUGUGAGCUGCUUAGAGAAGCUGUGAGGAUUAGAGGGAAACUCAUGUUCCCUGUUCAUCCCGCAGUGGCACCACCAGCACCCCUAAUUUGGGUCUCUGGGCUGAGGGGCCCCUGGCAGCAUGCUCAAUGGCCUUGGAUAGCUGGAAUGUUUGGAAUUGCCUGCAUCUUGGAUGAAAGUCUUAACAAUAGAAUGAAAACUGCUGCAACACUGUGUCAGCACUUUACAGACCACCACUGUAAAUUCCCAGUUGAAACUGGGAAUUUGGAAUUCCAUGUUCAACCAAAUCAUGCUGAGUGCCCAGCACAGCGUCUGACACACUAAAUGCUACAGGUGAAUUCCCUUUUUCCUCUUUCCUGGCAGGAAGCGGGGAUAGGGGAACCACUAGAAAUACUGUAAUAACAUGAAUAAGACAAGGCCAUUAGCCGGGAGCAAAUCAUAGAACAUCAGCCCUGUGAAAUGAGUGGUAUUAGUGUUACCAUUUUUCAGAUGGAGAAAUUGAGACUCAGAAAGGUUAAUUAGCCAAAAAUCACACAGACAGUAAUAGCAGAGCUAGGAAAAGAAUGUUCAUCCUAGUACCUAACUUUGAUCUUCCCAAAACACCAAACUGACUUCUAAAGCUGAAGAAAGAGGACACAGAAGCUUCAUCUCAGAUCUCACCACCAGCUGCCCCUUAAUCUGCCAACAUCGAACCAUUCUCUCCCCUCUAGACUACAGUGGCUUCAAACUUUGACUUAUCUCCAGUAUUUUUUUGUACAUAGCAAUAGCAACAAAAGUUUCACAAAACAAUAUUACCUUUGUAUGGCCAGGCACGGUGGCUCAUGCCUGUAAUCCCAACAUUUUGGGAGGCCAAGGCGGGCAGAUCAUGAGGUCAGGAGAUCAAGACCAUCCUGGCCAACAUGGUGAAACCCC